AGAUUGAACGCUGGCGGCAUGCCUAACACAUGCAAGUCGAACGGGAGUAGCAAUACUCUAGUGGCGGACGGGUGAGGAAUACGUAGGAAUUUGCCCUUAAGUGGGGGAUAACCCGGGGAAACCCGGAUUAAUACCGCAUGACCUCGAAAGAGCAAAGUGGGGGAUCGCAAGACCUCACGCUUUUGGAGAAGCCUACGUCGGAUUAGCUAGUUGGUGAGGUAAUGGCUCACCAAGGCGACGAUCCGUAACUGGUCUGAGAGGAUGAUCAGUCACACCGGAACUGAGACACGGUCCGACUCCUACGGGAGCAGCAGUGGGGAAUAUUGGACAA
rnacentral:rRNA from 1 species